AUGAACGCUGGCGGCGUGCCUCAUACAUGCCAGUCGAGCGAACGGACGAGAAGCUUGCUUCUCUGAUGUUAGCGGCGGACGGGUGAGUAACACGUGGAUAACCUACCUAUAAGACUGGGAUAACUUCGGGAAACCGGAGCUAAUACCGGAUAAUAUUUUGAACCGCAUGGUUCAAAAGUGAAAGACGGUCUUGCUGUCACUUAUAGAUGGAUCCGCGCUGCAUUAGCUAGUUGGUAAGGUAACGGCUUACCAAGGCAACGAUGCAUAGCCGACCUGAGAGGGUGAUCGGCCACACUGGAACUGAGACACGGUCCAGACUCCUACGGGAGGCAGCAGUAGGGAAUCUUCCGCAAUGGGCGAAAGCCUGACGGAGCAACGCCGCGUGAGUGAUGAAGGUCUUCGGAUCGUAAAACUCUGUCAUUAGGGAAGAACAUAUGUGUAAGUAACUGUGCACAUCUUGACGGUACCUAAUCAGAAAGCCACGGCUAACUACGUG
rnacentral:rRNA from 1 species